rnacentral:rRNA from 1 species
CGGGCCCUAUAAUGCAGUCGAGCGGACGAUUCAAAGCUUGCUUUUGAAUCGUUAGCGGCGGACGGGUGAGUAACACGUGGGCAACCUGCCCUGUAGACGGGGAUAACACCGAGAAAUCGGUGCUAAUACCGGAUAACACGAAGACCGCAUGGUUUUUCGUUGAAAGGCGGCGCAAGCUGUCGCUACAGGAUGGGCCCGCGGCGCAUUAGCUAGUUGGUGAGGUAACGGCUCACCAAGGCGACGAUGCGUAGCCGACCUGAGAGGGUGAUCGGCCACACUGGGACUGAGACACGGCCCAGACUCCUACGGGAGGCAGCAGUAGGGAAUCUUCCGCAAUGGACGAAAGUCUGACGGAGCAACGCCGCGUGAGCGAAGAAGGCCUUCGGGUCGUAAAGCUCUGUUGUUAGGGAAGAACAAGUACCGCAGUCACUGGCGGUACCUUGACGGUACCUAACGAGAAAGCCACGGCUAACUACGUGCCAGCAGCCGCGGUAAUACGUAGGUGGCAAGCGUUGUCCGGAAUUAUUGGGCGUAAAGCGCGCGCAGGCGGUUCCUUAAGUCUGAUGUGAAAGCCCACGGCUCAACCGUGGAGGGUCAUUGAAACUGGGGGACUUGAGUGCAGAAGAGGAGAGCGGAAUGCCACGUGUAGCGGUGAAAUGCGUAGAGAUGUGGAGGAACACCAGUGCGAAAGCGGCUC